rnacentral:sRNA from 1 species
GCCGGGCACAGUGGCCCACACCUGUGAUCCCAGCGGCUCGGGAGGCUGAGGCAGGAGGAUCGCCAGGUGGAGGCCAGCCUCAGCAACUUAGUGAGGCCCUAAGCCACUCAGUGAGACCCUGUCUCUA